UGUUUCUGAAAAUCCCAAACAACAAACAGCUCCCCUACAGAGCUCAUGGGGGAGUAGUCAGAACCUCCAGACUGAGCAUGUCACAAGGAAGGACUGCUUUGCUGAAGCCACUCACUCCGGGAGAUUUAUAAUUGGAAGUUUGGCCCAGGGAGAUAAUCAGCCAAGAGCGCGCACGCACACACACACACACACACACACACACACACACACACACACUCUGAAGAAACCCAGUGGAGAUUCAGCACUAACCCACCACACACACACACACACACACACACACACACACACACACUCUCUGAAGAAACCCAGUGGAGAUUCAGCACUAACCCAGCACAGCGAUAGAAGAGGAGAAGAGACAUACAGAGGACAAGGCCAUGUCACAACAAGUGGAGACUGGAAUUAUGCAGCCACAAGCCAAGGAACCUCUGGAACCACCAGAAGCUGGAAAUGGCAGUCAUUGACAUUUAUUGAAGCUGUGCUAUUUUCAAAAUGCUGAGGAAGUAUUGGGAGGAGAUGAAGCAAGGAAUUUUUAUCCAGGUGUACAGAGAAAAAAAGAAAGGAAAGAUGCAGACAAAGAAAAAAGGAUGAAAACUUCCAGAUGACAUGUGGGUCCAGACAGACCCUGGCAGAAAGCCCAGCUCUUGGAAAACUGGCCCUCGCCCCAGGAUUUGUAAACAGCACAAAUUCACUGAUGAAGAUGCAGGAGAGGUGAAGAAUCUGCUUUGGCCAUCUCAGCAGCACUGCCCUGCUGCCCUUAACCCCAACCCACUGGACUGGCUGAGAAUAUAUUCCACAGUCCCUUCUUAACAUCCUUCCAGGUUGUAAAGAUAUUACAUAUUUAUCAAAACAAUUAGUGACUUAUAAGAAGUCUGAAGAAGACAGAAGCAAAUACGCAAACAAAUGCAGAGUGCAGUAGCACCUCAGGGCAGAGAUAAUUCUGCCUGUGACAGGAAAAGAUCUUUCAACAGCAGUUUGACAGCUCCUGGUGACAGAUCCCCACCACAGUAUCCUCCAGCAGACCCCUUGGUGGUAUACCUGGGACUAUUUUUUGAAAGCCAAACUCUGGAUACUUCUGUAUUACCUAAACUCCGGCACCUCUUACAUUCCACAUUGGCACAGUUCCGAGGUCUAAGUUUGUUUUAAUUCUCUACAAUCUUUCCUGUUCAAGGAGUAGGUAACUAGAAUGAACACAUUCCCAUUUUAAGAUACAAAUGGGACCUUGGAGGUAGAAAGACGUCCAUAUUGUUUGUACCGUAGUGUGAUUUUAAUUAGCUGCUCUUCUCUUGGUUCAACUCAACUUACUAAAUUGGAUUGGCUGUGAAGGGAAUGGAGCAGUAAUUUGGGUUCAUGCAUUUGUGAAGCAGGAUUGGGGAGUGCCUCAAUGCAGACUGUAGCUGGUUAUAACAUUAUUGGAGGGAAACCAACAAAAACGAGGGAAAUAGUAUCUGCGCCUUCUUUGCAUUCUGCCUAAAGUCUUAGGAUCACAGUGUCCUAAUUGGAUCAUUGAAAACCUAUGAUGGCUUUGAUUUGGCAGGUAAUCUAGCUGAAUCUUUAACACAUUAACUUCCAGACCCCUCAUCAUUCCAGCUGGGAAGAGAAAAGAACUUCAGGAACAAAUUUUAAAAAUGAAAUUUGUUAAAUCAUGAAAAUUCCAAUGAAGUUUUCUCUUUUAUCUUCCUAGCUCAUGUUUGAAGAGCCCAGCUAAGUUGUUGAGCUAACUCGUAUUUCAAGCUCAGGGCUGCAUUCAUUUUGGUUCCCAUCACGAAUUCUAAAGGCAUUUGAAAUUUCCCCUUGGCUCCCUGGGACUAUUUAGAAGAGUAUCUCAGUUGUUUGUAGGGUUUUCUUUUGUUUAAACAUUUUCAGAGUCAGACAAAUUCUUUUAUGAACACAUAUUCACUAUUCAAGUGGAUGUUUCUCUACAGUAAAAUAAAAUUAAUAAAUCAUACAAAGUGGGUAUUUAAGCUUAUGCUCCUAAUCUCCUCACGUGCCACUCAAUGUGCACAUGAGGUUUUUAAAAAUUAGUGUCUCAAUUAUAUUCUAUGAUAGAGAGAACAGAGGUGUUGCUAGCAUGACUGCUCAGCACUCUCCCCUCAUGAGCUCAGGCAGCUGUGUGAUUUGUGAAGGUGGCUGCUCAUCAGUCCAUCUGUGGCUUAGGGCACUGGGCUGAGCUGUAAAGGCAGAGUAUCAUUACAGAUUAUUUUUUAUUAUCUGAAAUAAUGGCAAUAAAGUGGAAGUGAAGGUGAAGAAACCCAGCACUCCUAGAGCUAUGAAAAAGCCAUAAGGCUCUGGCCUCAAGGGGAAACCCAGUUAAUUUAAAGAAGGAAUCUCUAAUCAUCCAGUUGGAGGAUUCAAGGGUACUAGGUGGUUUUCAGGCUCCAGGAAGAAGGUCCCUGCCACUGAUGACCUCAUGCCAAGAGGAAAGAAAGCUGCUCUGUAGACCUUCUUUAUAAGAGUACAGGUUGGAACCAUACUAAGAGCCUGGCUUUGUUAAACCCAACACAUACUACAAUAUUUUUGAUGAUUUAUGUGGGUAAAUAGGAUACAUCCAGAAAAAAUCUGGCACAUAUUUUUCAUGACCUCAGAAUCUCAAAAAGGCAACUUUAGGACCAGGUCUUGUGGUGAUUCUUUUUUCUUUUUGGUCAUUUUUUUCAUGUCAAUAAAAAGGUAAAAUGUAGAAUGUAGUUAACGUUAAUCAGGUAGAUAAAGGAUGCAAACUAGGGGUGGGGUGAGGCUGUGCAUGAUUCCGUCUAUGCAAAUCAGUCAAGGAUUUACACUGGAACUACAAAACUCGAUUUCAGUGGAAAAAGCAUGAGUGGACUCUGUAGGCACCAGGUAGGCAGAACUCCACUGUGAGAGGGGCUCAGGUAUCGAGAUGCAGCUCUGGGCAAGACCCCUGUGAGGCAUAGCCAGAUUUGGGUCUCCAACUCAACCCCUGAUUCCAGAACCUCAGCUGCCUCUUACAGAGAAGAUGAUUCUGCCACUUUUGUUUGUAUGACUUUGUAACUCUAAGAAGGCAUUUUUAAAAAGUAAGUAGGCAAUAAAGAAAUGGUACUUCUAUGUAAGUAGUGCAUGUGUAGUAGUGAGUUUUGUGAUCAAUAUACAUUGCUUUGUAUGUGAUUUGCUUUUAAGAUGUUGGAAAUGAGAAUCUGAUAUAUUAGAGAAUUUGACUUACAAGAUUUGCAAUUUUAAGUGUAACACCUAGGAGGAUUUAAUGAAUUAAUUUUGUAGUCAAUGUUUGGAUGCUCAGGAGAACCUGAAUUUAUCAGUUUAAUUCUCAGCAGGUUGAAAUGCUUUAAGAGAAUUUGUGUGCUAAAUUUAGAAGUUUUGAUUUAUUAGUCUUACAAGAACUAAGUAAGUCCUGAGAAAGAUUUUGUUUCUUCUAUUUGUAAGUCUUCCUGUUAGGGAUUUGAAGAUUUUAACAAAGCCAGAUGUAUCAAAUUUGUGAGUAUAGUUUGAAAUGCUUAGAGGAAUUUAAUUAAUCAAGUUUAUAAAUACUGUUUACAUUUUGAAAGAUUAUUUGAUUUGUUAAGCUUAUAAAAAUUGUGACUAAUAAAAAUAUGUAAGAUUGAUUUGAUUAAGUUUGAAAAUGGUAUUCAAAUACUUAGUUGGAAGUAUUCUAUCUCAUGUUUAAAGAUUUAUUGAGCUUUAGUCAAAGAACAAAGGCAAAUGAAUGUUUCAUACUUUAAUGCACACAAACUAGAUAUAUAAGAAAACUUCCAUGAUUUAUAAAAUAUGUUCAAAGGCUAAAAAACACUGUAACUUCAACAAAUUGAAUAUCAAUUAAAACUCACGCAGCUAUAAGAGCUUUUUGCAAUGAACACAUUCUCAUUCAGAUAUUAAACAAUGAU
rnacentral:lncRNA from 10 species